rnacentral:lncRNA from 10 species
UUUCCUACAAUGGUAAAUUUAAAUGCAUUUUUAAAGUUUUUCUAAUAGAAGUCAUCAUAUUCACUUUUCACAGUAAUGGUACAGUAAAGGAAAUCACUCUUGCCUUCCCUUUAGCAAUGUCUUUACAUAGUCUUUUCAUGUAUUGAUGUAUCAAAUUAUUUAUUUUGCCCUGAAAAGAAUAAGAGUCUUCUGGGUGGUAAUGUUCUUCCCAAAAUUCUCUCUUCUAAGAAUGGAUUGGCAAAUAAUAAGGACUCAUAGUUAGUAAAACCUAUUUUGAGAAAUUACACAUAAAUAAAUAAAGAUGUCACAGGAGUGUUGUGAGUUAGUUGAAGCUGGCAACUCCGUACUAGGUCCUGUGCUGACACUAGAAUAUAAUCAUUAUCAAAACGGAUACUGUCUUUACCUUUCCCCUGUCCUCACAAAGCUUAGUGCCACAUGAACAAGAUGUAAAUAUAACAAAAUUUAAAUAAGUAUCUUUGUAAAAAUAGAAGUAAAUAUUCUUCCCUAAAAGAUAUUUCCUAUAUUUAGUAUGAGCAGAUUUAGUCAUUUAGUAGCCUAAAAUAGUCUCAUCUAUUAAACAUAUUCUAGAUCCUGCCCUGGAAUAAUUUUAGAUAUAAUAAUACAUAAUAAAAACAGGGUUUUUAGAUAGUAAAAACAGGAUUUCUUAACAUUUUGCAUUGGGUAAUACUUUAUUGUGCGGAGCUGUCCCAUGCGUUUGGGUAUUUAGCAGCAUCUCUGGCUUACAACUAGUGAAUGUCAGUAACACACCCCUCAUUUGUGAACCCAAAAUAUCUUCAGAUAUUACCAAAUCUGUCUUUGGGUACAAAAUUGUCCCCAUUGAGAACCACUCAUUAUGCUGCCCAGGCUAGACACAAACUCCUGGACUCAAGAGACCCAACUGCCUUAGCAUCCCAAGGAGCUUUGACUACAGGCAUGUGCCGCUGCACCUGGCUUGAUCAAGAAAAUUUUUAUAGAUGGAUUCAUAGUGUAUUAUGGCUCUUAUUUUUGCAUCUCUCAGUGAGUUCUUUUAGUUGAUAGAGGAAUCUGAAAGCUAUCAGGAAGUCAGCAUUUAGCUCACGCUUGUCCAACUCACAGCCUGCUGGCCACAUGCAGCCCAGGAUGGCUUUGAAUGCGGCCCCACACCAAUUCGUAAACUUUAAAACAUUAUGAAAAUUUUUUGCAUUUUUUUUAGCUCAUCAGCUAGUUAGUAUUAGUGUAUUUUAUGCGUGACCCAAGACAAUUCUUCUUCUUCUAAUGUGGUUCAGGGAAGCCAGAAGAUUGGACACCCCGAUCUAGAUCCUUUGCUGAAAAUAGAGACUCAGGGUACAUCAGUUCCAACCUCCUUGUGGGGCAGGAAAUAGACAUAGUGGUCUUGAUAAUGGAAACAUGAAGAAUUCAUCCCCAGAUGGUCACCUUAAUAUGGAAUAUGUCACGAUAGGGUAAAUAAUUUGGAAGAGAAUAGUAGCUCUAACUUGAGAAUAGUAACAUAUUUAAUAAAAAAUUACCCUAUUGUUUCAAAUUAUUUCUUCUUCAAGCAUAGUAUGAAAAUUACUUUCAAGUGGUAAAAUUAAGAGCAACAAUAAAGUAAAUUACCCAUAUUUUCUCUGAGCUUUCAAGAAAAAUGUUUCUUUAACCCCAGAUUCAAACAUGUAAGAACAAGUCUAUAAGAAUUUGACAAGAACAGAUCUUGAUAAGCCACAUGGCCAAUUUUGGCUCUUCGUCUGAUAAGGGUACCAGAAUUUCUUUGGGACUUUCAGAAGUUAGAAAAUUGUAUUUUGUAAUUUGUAUUUGUAUUUUCUAAUUUGUAUUUUUCCUUUUGUUAUGCAGACUUUGGCUUAAAAGUUGAAUCAAGUUGAACUUACAUGUUGCUUAGAACUCCAGUUCCAGUAAAACCA